GCCCACUUGGCCCAAUUGGCAGAGGCAUGAGGCUUAAGACUUCAGAGUUCCCAGUUCGAAUCUGGGAGUGGUGUACCA
rnacentral:tRNA from 1 species